rnacentral:lncRNA from 1 species
GAGCUGCGUGUGCUGCUGUGAACAGAAAGCAGCAGGACGGAGGGGGCUUUUGGGGGAAGGAAGGCUGAGAAAUACUUGCGGUAUCCAGCAAAUGCCUGAGCUAAAGACCCCUCGUUUUGCAGGCAGCUCGAUGGCAAUGGUUGCAAGCAGCUCACGGAGGGAGGCACGUUGCUGAUGCAAAGCAAAUAAACCCAGGCUGGGAGCAGGACCCUCUCCACCUCCCUCCAAAAAAUCUCAGCUUUUCAUCCCUAGCUUAGUUUCCCUGUGAAAGAGUGAGUGUGAAACGCCUGGGAGCUUCGCAAAAAGCAGCCAGGGCUGACGGCUUUCCUCGGGACAGCCCGGUGCUCUCACGGCCGAACCGGGGGAGGUAGGGGUGGUUCGCACACGGCUGAGUGAUGCUGCGGGGCUGGGAGCGCUCGUGCAUCCCCGCACGUGAGAAGCACCGAGGGGAGACUGCAGUGUGGUGCUGCCAGCAGAGCGGACCGGCGGGCUGGGGGAGCUCGUGAGGCUCCUCUGGGAGGACAGCGGGUCAGGGCUGGGGGCAUCGGGCUGCCCUCGGGGAUACCGUGCGUUCAGGGGAGGAUGGAGGAGGGCAAGCGGUGGCUGGGUAUGACCCCGUGAGAGCACUUCUAGUUGCGGUUUGACACGCUGUAGGUGGUUAUUCAAACGUUGAGAGUGAGGGGGGUUCCAACGUGGGACUUUCCGGCUUUCCAGGGGAGGAAAGCCGCCGGGACGCGGCACGAACGCUGCAGGAAGGACGGGGCUGCUCCUGCCGAGGGGAAUCCGUGCCUGCUGCCUCUCCUGCAGAGAAAUGCCGGCACUCACACGGUAAUUGCUGCUGCUUGUAAGCCGUGCUGCUAAAAGACCAAAGUGACUGAUGAUAGAAGUGGGAAAGGAUUAAAAUCUCUAAAACAAUGCAAGGGGAAGAAAAUAGAUGAGUUAGCAAGGGAACCGGCUUAUCUCUUCUUGAGCAAACAAACAAGUGGAAGCUAAUUUUCCGAGCCAGCGGCUGAAUGAUUAAUGGAGCUCCCCGUGAUUAACCCUCCGUCACGAGCUC